AGGAUGCGGCCCACACCAGUCGACUAACACCCAGGUGAACAGGAAAAAAUGCCUAGAACUAGUGCUCAUAUUGGUGAAUUUAAGACCAGCAGAGGUAGGUUUGAGAGAUUUAAGAAUCGUAGUGGCAUACACAGUGUGAUAAGGCAUGGCGAAGCUGAAAAAUUCAUCCCCCAACAAGUGUUCAAUUGUGACAAAACAGGCCUGUUCUGGAAGAAAAUGCCAAACAGGACCUACAUUACUCAGGAGGAAAAGGCACUCCCAGGACACAAGCCUAUGAAAGACAGGCUAACUCUCAUGUUUUGUUGUAAUGCUAGUGGGGACUGCAAAGUGAAGCCUUUACUCAUGUAUCACUCUGAAAAUCCCAGAGUGUUCAAGAAAAAGUGUGUCUCAUCACUCACCGCUACAUCUUCAAUAAAGGUAAGUGUCAUUUAUUCUUCAUUUAGUACAGUAUUUAUUGUGCAUGUAUCCUCCUUUUUCUGUGUAAGAAAAUGUAUAUUUCAUGUGAAUUUUUUUUUUUUCAUAUGUUUGGGUGUCUGGAAUGGAUUAAUUGGAUUUCCAUUAUUUCGUAUGGGGAAAAUUAAUUCAACUAACGAUAAAUUCGUCUAACGAUAAGCUCUCUGGAAUGGAUUAAUAUCGUUGGUUGAGGGUCCACUGUUUUAUAAACUCCAACUGCACCUUAACACUUUCACAGUACAGUCAGUAUGUAGCAUAAAAAUUAGUCCUUAACUAUUGAAGUAUAAUAAAGCCUCUGAUUAAUAGAUUUCAGCAAUUUCAAGCAAGCAACUGGUUGGACAAAAGCUCUCCAUAUUGGACAAAAUAGACUAAAGUCUGUAAUUUUGCAUUUUGUCCAUAAUGAGUGUCUGGUUGUCUUCUGAAGUAUUGGGCUAAGUCUGCUAACUCCAAUGUUUGUCCAGUACGGACAAAGUGGCCACAUCCAGGACCAGUCUGUUUUCAUUGUUCCCUGAGCCAUAGGCCAUCUAUGCCAGUUUCUUUUUUGUGUUCACUCAUGGAUACACUCAUAUUUCAGUCUCUAGUUUUCCCAGGAUUUAGAGCAUUGUGUGUCACUUUAAUUAACUUAUCAAGUAAGGCACAAUUAACAAUGGCUUCUAAAGCAAGUGGUGAUGCCAAGAGAAAAUGUGUGGUUCUCAGCCCUCUACAUUGUUUUCAAUGCUUGAGUUUUACAGCUUCUCUGACUCAGAACCAAACUUAUUCCGAGUCACCACUAUCGAUUAAGCAGUUUACACCUCAUCUCUCAACCACAAAAACAUAAUUAAAUUUACUGUACAUUAUGCAAAAUACUAUAAAGUGCAGUACUGUACUGUAGCACUACAGGUUACAAUAUCCACGUUCUUAGUGUCUGGUUGUCUUCUGCAUCAGUGGCCCAAGUCCACUACUGCAGAAGACAACUGGACGAUCAUGAAAUAUUAAUUUCAUGAGUCAGAAGUUGUAGACAGUUAGCAUUAUCUUACACCCCCUUCCUAGAAUUAGUCCAUUAAUGAGAGGUUUUACUGUGUAGUUAAAUUAUGGGAAAUUUGGUUUAUGAAUGGGUGAACUAUUGUAUGUUAAGACUGGAAAGUAGUGAAGUACUAUCAUGAUCUCUGGCACAUUAUAAUAUGUGAACUAUCAUAGUUCACAUUUUAAUGUGACUGGGAAGUAGCAGAUCAGAGCAUUUUCACAACCCCUAUGAGAUUACCAUAUUAAGAAUUUUUUAUUUUAAGACUAUAUGUUAACAAAAUUUAUGAUUCAUCUUUGGAGAACAAGGUGUUAGUGUUCAUAUUACUGUAUGUAAAAGUACAAUUUCCUGUUUCUAAUAUUGUUGGAAUAAGAACUGCUGCUGCUUCAUAAUAGUACAUAAUUAGCAGCAUCUCUGGUUAUCUGCAGUUGGUGUCCACUGGGGAACAUUUGAAGGAGAACGUAAUGUGGGCUUCAUGUUUCUUGUGGAGACAGCCUUAGGGAGGAUGAAGUACAUUAAGAUGGGCAACAGCUCUCUCACUCAUCCCCCUGAAGGAUUUAGCAGUAUUGCUGCCAAGGGCAGACUGGAACCAGAUCCAUCUAAAGACAAGAUACAAAUGUUGGACAACAUGAGAGUAAUUAUACCUAUUGGACCUCCAGAACCACAGAGGGAGUUUGAAGCAAGUGGAUUUUUACACAGUGAGUAUGUGAUAUACAACGAAGGACAAGCAAGGCUUCGCUAUCUUGCUAAGUUCUCCUUUGCUUAAGUAAAUGCAUAAAUAAAAUAAAUAAAUUAAUAAAUGUUUGUUUUUCAAGAUACAUUGUGUUACUAAGAUUGGUUUAUGUUGGUUGUAUCUUGAUGGAAAGGACAAAGUUAUGCAAAGCAUUUUGGGCAGACUGAAACUGGAAUUUUAAAUUAUUUGACAUUGAAUAGUCAGAUUACUUGAAUCCUAAGCUUAGCAUAACUAAGUUGUUUGGAAAUAAGAUUAUUGAAUGCAAUGAUCAUUCCUGUUAAGUAACAAAAUUCUGUUUAUUAAAAGUUGCCCAUUAUGCAUUCAUAUCUUGAUUCUUUAACAUGUUUAUUCAAUGAAAUUUAUGAAUGUUUAUUCACAUUAUCAUUACAUCAAACCAAAGGUCAUACACUGAGUAUUUUCUUAGACAUUUACAUUCUUGUUUAUAAUAGUAACACCUAUUUUGUUAUAAAAUAGUUUUCUGUGAUAAUCACAGGUCUUAAAUGGAGUGCAUUUAUUUACAUGCUCCUAAGUGAUGUGUUUUGUUUUAUAAAAAAAAAAUCAUUAAGUGCUGGACUACAGUAGAUAACUGUAAGUAUGUUUUUUUAAUUCAUCAUUGGUUAAGAAAGCUUCAUUAAUAUAUAUCUACUGGAUGUUUUAUUCUAAAACAUAUACAUGUACAGUAUAGCUCUUAACUACAAUAUAUGGAAGCUACCUGAAAUAUUUACACACAAUAUAGCUGACUACUAUACAUAAAGGCUACCUAAAGUAUAUACACACAAUAUCAUUAACUAGCAUACAUAAAUAUCCUUGAAGUAUGUAUUAUACAUACAUAUUAUAGAUCUGACUAUAUAUGAUGAUUACUGAGAGUAUACAGUAGACCGUUAUAUUACACGGUUUUAUUUGGCACAUUUUGGUUAUUGCACUAUUGAAAAAUUGCAGCACAAUUUUAUACAACACUUCAUAAAAUUAACACGGUUUGGAUUGCGGGAAGGGAAAAAAUUUGGAAUAUUGCCCGUGUGAUGCUUCCCCAACACAGCUAGGAGCUGGCUGUGUUUAUUGUUAUAUUUGUGGAUUGAGUUUAGAGCUUUUAAUUGUCAUAUCGUGUAUCCACCAAACAAUGAUAUCAUGGCACCCAGUAGACAUACAAGUGUUGCUGAAGGUGGCAAGAAAAGGUUUAAGCAUUUAACUCUUGGAGUUACAAAGAAAAUAGAGAUAUUAGGCAAGCUUAAGAGUGGCUCACGUGUGGUGGAUAUAGCGAGAGCCUAUGGCCUUAUUGAAGUGUCAGUGCAUACAAUUAAAAGGAACGAGGUAAAUGUACGAGCUUGUGUAAUGAAUAACCCAAGAUGUCACCUCAUGAAAAGAAUGACAUGUAGAUCACAACAAGUAAAUAAAGCUGAAAACUUGUUGCUUGAGUGGAUUGAACAAAAGACAAAGAAAUGUGCACCACUUAAUUUCAUCAUAAUUAGGGAAAAGGCCUUACAGUUGUUUAAAGCAGUGUGUGAUAAGGAAGGAAGGCCUGAAAAAGUGUAUGUUUAGCACAGGCUGGUUUCACAACUUUAAGUUGCAUAAUAAGUUACAUAAUAUUAAGUUUUCUGGUGAAAGUGCUUCAGCUGAUCAUACAGCAGCAAGUAAUUUCCCUGCUGAAUUGCAGAAAAUUAUUUCUGAGGGUGGCUUUGUGCCACAUCAAGUGUUUAAUGCUGACGAGACAAGUUGUUUUUGGAAGAAAAUGCCAGCAAGAACUUAUAUCAGUCAGCAAUAGAAAAGUGCACCGGGCUUCAAGACAGCAAAGGAUUGCUUAACCUUGCUCCUUUGCAGUAAUGCUUCAGGUGAUUUUUAACCCUUUGAGGGUCGACAGGCCCUCUCCGAAACUCGUUCUCAGGGUCGGCCAAAUUUCAAAAAAAAAAAAAUUAUUUUUUCUUAUGAAAAAAUAGAGUUUUUUUUCUAAACAUUAUAGGAUAAACAAAAAAAUUUUACCAUCAAUACUUACGGAGAUAUGGAUGCAUGAAGUUUGCAGAAAAUGAGCAGCGUAUGGCAACAGCGGCAACUGCCGCUCACCCGGUAAACUUUGAUUUACUUGUAUUUGAAGGUUUGUUGUUUUUUUCACUAUUUUAUUUUUUCACAUAACUUAUGUGGCCUAUGAGACCAAAGUAAGGUGCAGUGUACAUAUAUACACUCGUUGUAUACAACACAAUAAGCACACAAACAUAAUUAUCAAUAUAUUGUUUACAAAACUUGUUUACAAAAACAAACAAUACAAAACAUUGUUUAUUAUUAUUGUUCUAUAAUAUAUAUACCAAUAUACAGUCACUGAACAUAUUCCUAUUAGUUCUGCAGCUUGUGGAACUCUGAAACAUGGUGUCAUACACAAUGGUGUUUUAUCUUUCUCCCUCAUUCUAUCUCUUUCAAUCUGUCUCUCUCUUUCUAUCUGUCUGUCUAUCUCUGUCUCACAGGUACACAUAAAUACAAGUAUACAUAGUAUAAAUUACCUAGGAUAACCCAAGAAAUCCAGACAAAGUGCUAUACUCUGCUUGAAGAUGUGAGUAAAAGUGAUGACACAGUCUUGUGGCUCUCUGAGACAGAGAGCUAGACGGAUAGACAGAUAGACAGGGAGCUUGACAGACAGACAAAUAGACAGACAGAAAUGUUAGUGUACCAGUACCAGUGUACUAGUGUUCCACCCUCCUCCUCCUCUUCUUCCUCUUCCUCCUCUUCCCCCUACUCUUCCUCCUCUUCCCCCUACUCUUCCUCAUACUCUUCCUCUUCCUCCUCUUCCUCCUACUCUUCCUCUUCCUCCUACUCUUCCUCUUCCUCCUCCUCCUCUUCCUCCUCCUCCUCUUCUUCCUCUUCCUCCUACUCUUCCUCCUCCUCCUCUUCUUCCUCUUCCCCCUAUUCUUCCUCCUUCUCCUUCUCCUCCUCGUCCAUAGUGUAAAUUACAAGGAGUCAGCAGCUGUCAAAGUGACAUAUUGGCUCAUUACUCUUUCCCCCUCCGGCCUGUCAAAACAAUGGGGUCGGAUGCUGCUUCCCCUCCUCCAUUCUAUCUAAUUAUCUUUCUCCCUCAUUCUAUCUGUCUAUCUCUGUCUCACAGGUACACAUAAAUACAAGUAUACAUAGUAUAAAUUACCUAGGAUAACCCAAGAAACCCAGACAAAGUGCUAUAAUCUGCUUGAAGAUGUGAGUAAAAGUGAUGACGCAGUCUUGUGGCUCUCUGAGACAGAGAGCUAGAUGGAUAGACAGGGAGCUUGACAGACAGGCAAAUAGACAGACAGAAAUGUUAGUAUACCAGCAAAAACAAAGGGAGGGCGAUGUUCAUCUCAUCUUUUGGCAUCAGCUCUACCCUCAUUUACCCUCAUCAAACGUCAGCACUUAUCAGAUGUUAUCUCCCCUUAUCUUGUUACUGUCAUGGGUGAACAUUUAUUAUUACAUAUUAUUAUUACCUAUUAUUAUUAUUAUGUAUUAUUAUUAUUAUUAUUAUUAUUAUGUAUUAUUAUUAUUAUGUAUUAUUAUUAUGUAUUAUUGUUAUCAUUACGUAUUCUUCUUCUUCCUCUUCCUCCUCCUCCUCUUCCUCCUCCUCCUCUUCUUCCUCCUCCUCCUCCUCUUCUUCUUCUUCCUCCUCCUCCUCCUCCUCCUCCUCCUCCUCCUCCUCCUCCUCUGCCUCCUCCUCCUCUUGCCUCCUCCUCCUCUUGCCUCCUCCUCCUCUUGCCUCCUCCUCCUCUGCCUCCUCCUCUGCCUCCUCCUCCUCCUCCAUUCUUGGAACAAGUUUGAAGAGCUUGUAGUUCAUAAUCACUAUCAUUAUCAUCACCAAUGCUCACAUCUGAGUCUGGGAUUUUGGAAAAUAGGAGUUUCCUCUUUGAUUCUGGUACAACUGAACGACGGCCCAGCACCAGAGGUGGAAGGCUGUGGGUUGUCUGGGUUUUCCUCACUAUUACCCAUAUUAUGGUCAUUAGUUUCGGUCAAAACCUCACCAGAACCUUGAAACUCAUCUUCACUGUCACUUCCAUCUGUAUUAGAACUGUCACUGGGGAACAAAAGUGUCCCAAUUCGCCGAGGAGUGAGGAACUUCUUACCGCAGGGCACGGUGGAAAUUGUGUACUAUGAUGGCAGUCCCACAAUGCACCACUGGGUCCCAGAUUUUUUUCCUACUGCGCACACCCACCACACAGACCCAUUCUCUCACAUCUAGGCUUAUCAGCCUUUUCCUGCGAGAUUUGAGGCCGCUAGAAUUUAUGCGUACUAGUACGUCAAAAACCCCUACGCGUAAGACGUACUAGUACGACCAAAACCCUCAAAGGUUUAAGCAUCACUUUAUUCCUGAAGUCAAGUUUUACCUGCACAGCAAGAACCUUGCAUUCAAGGCUCUCUUCAUUCUUGAUAAUUUCAGUACUCAUCCACAAGCUUUGCUGGAUAUGACCUCACAUGUAAAAGUUGUAUUUUUACCUCCAAAUACAACAUCUUUAGUACAACCACUGGAUUGCAAAGUUAUUAAGUCAUUCAAGUGUAACUACACAAAAAAGUUAUAAAAAAACUAGUUGCAUCAGUGGACUCUGACUCCAAUCUGGCAGUACCAAGUUUCUGGAAUAAAUUUAACAUUGCAGAUGCUAUCAGCUAUGCUAUAAGUGCAUGGAGUGAAGUGCCCCAAUCAACAUUAAAUGAAGGCUGGGGAAAGUUAGGGCCUUCUGUAAUUAAUUCUUUCACUGCUUUUUUCUUGCUUGACAGUCAGGUUCAGGAAAUUGUUCAGCUGGCAAGGAGAGUACUAGGUUAUGGUUUUGAAGAUAUGAAUGAAGAAGAUAUGAAUGAGCUCUUAGAAGAUGAUGAAGACAGGAGUCCAGGGAAAAUGUUGGCAGAGCUCGAUGCACAGAUACAAGGGAGCCACAUAACAGAAGUAGAUGAAGAAGAAUCUGAAGAAAAACAGUUAACAUUGCAGCAGUUAGGUGAGCAGUUCCAUAUUAUUGGUAAAGUUGCAGACCUUUUCACUGAAGAGGACCCUGACAAAUCAAGAAGCAGUGCUUUAAAAUGGGAUCUGGUGAUACCUUACUGUCAGUUGUAUAAUGUACUGCAGGAUAAAAGAGCCCAGAGAUCCAUUACAGAAUUUAUGCACACUCCAAUGCAAUCAUCGACUUUAGUACCAGAACUUCUACCAUCUGCUUCUGCCGACAACCAACAACCAUCCACCUCAGUCCAGUAGGGCCAAACCAUGCAUCUCCACUCUCUUCACAAUCAUACACAAACACCAAUACCCACAAUUUAAGUUAAGAAAUACUAUUAUUUCUGCUGCAUUUGUAGUCUUAAACAGUAAAAACAUAAUAUAUCACAACAGUGAACUACUGUUACAUCUUCACUUUUAUUUUUGAAAGAUCUGUUGGUCUAGGAAAAAAGUUGUUCAGCUUUUUGGGGGCUCCCAGGAACGUAACCCUAUUUUUUCCCAUAAGUUCUUCAGUUUAUCUAACAGUUUUACCUAAGACGGCAUUUUCAGAAACGUAACUACCGUGUAAUAUAACAGUCUACUGUGUACAGUGGACCCUCCCUUUUCUUUGGGCUCUGUUUUUGCUCAUUUCAGUUAUUGCCGAAUUUUUCCGUGAAGUUAUUGGCUCAGUUCUCGUUGCUUUUCUCCUUUCUCAUUGGUGAUACCGUAAAAAUAUUGGCUCAGUUUUCAUUGCUUUCCUCGUUUGCGUCGGUGGUAUGGUACCUGUCUGAGUGUGCCACACACACAACCUCCCACACAUGCAUUCUGAGGAGGCAGUGUCGCUUUGUUUAUGGUUGAGUGAACAUUACCCUGCGAGCUCAUGGGAAUUAUUUCGUAACAAUUCAUUGUUUUUUGCACUUAUUUAUUCUGAGUGACUGCUAAAUAAGCCACUAUGGGCCCAAACAAAGCUGCUAGUGCUAGUCCUUUGGUAAAGAAGGUGAGAAACACAAUAGAAUUAAAGAAAGAAAUCAUUGAAAAAUAUGAACGUGGCUUACAUGUGAUCAGCAUCGUGAAGAUGUACCACAGGCCUACAUCAACCAUCAGUUCCAUCAUAGCGAAGAAAAACGAAAUCAAGGAAGCUGAUGUUGCGAAAAGGGUAAAAGUGAUAACAAGACAGAGAUCACAAACACUGAAAGAUGUUGAGAUAUUGUUCUUGGUGUGGAUGAACGAUAAACAAUUAGUGGGAGAUAGUAUUGUGCAGUUGAUAAUUUGUGAAAAGGCAAGGCAGUUGCAUGCCGAUCUCGUAGAGAAAAUGCUUCAAACGAGUGCUGGUGUUAGUGAAUUUAAGGACAGCAAAAGGCUGGUUCGAAAAAUUCAAGAAGCGUAGUGGCAUACAGUGUUGUAAGGCAUGGUGAAGCAGCAAGCUCAGAUAAACAUGCAGCUGAAAAAUUUGUCCAUGAAUUCAAGGAGUACAUAGAAGCUGAAGGAUUCGUCCCCCAACAAGUGUUCAAUCGUGACGAAACAGGCCUGUUUUGGAAGAAAAUGCCAAAGAGGACCUACAUCAUGCAGGAGGAACAGGCACUCCCAGGACACAGCCUAUGAAAGACAUGGGGUUUCACUCUGAAAAUCCCAGAGUGUUCGAGAAACAAUGCCGCCAAGAGUAAAUUGUGUGUGAUGUGGAAGGCUAACAGUAAGGCAUGGGUAACAAGGGAAAUUUUCCUUGAUUGAUUCAAUGAAGUGUUUGCCCGAGUGUGAAGAUGUAUGUACUUCCUGGAAAAUAAAUUGCCACUCAAGUGCCUCCUGGUAAUUGACAAUGCUCCUGGUCAUCCUCCAGACCUGGAUGACCAAAUGGUGGAGGAGUUUAAUUUCAUCACAGUGAAGUUCUUGCCCCCUAAUACCACUCCUCUCAUCCAGCCCAUGGACCAGCAGAUAAUUUCGAAUUUCAAAAAACUCUCCACCAAAGCAAUGUUUCAAAGGUGCUUCAAUGUGACCUUAGACCCUAAGAUAGUUCUGGAAACAUCACUUCACUAUCUUCAGUUGCAUAGGCCUUAUAAAUAAGGCUUAGCAGGGAGUGACUUCCAGGAUAAUGAACUCUGGAGAAAAUUGUGGCCAGAAUAUGUCCAAGAGAAAGAUUUUGAAGGGUUUGGGGCUGACCAUGUUGACCCUACACUUGUUGUGGAAUGUAUUGUGGCAUUGGGGGAAUUCCAUGGGGUUGGAUGUGGAAGAGUUGGCGGAGGACCGUAGUGAAGAACUAACCACUGAAGAGCUGCAAGAGCUUUGUCUGCAACAGCAACAGAGCACAGCUGAGGAAAAUGCUUCAGAGGAGGAGGAAGAGGAACAGAGAGAAAAGGUGCCUUCUUCAGAGAUUAAGGAGGUUUGUUCAAUGUGGAGUAAGGUGCAAACAUUUGUGGAGGAACAUCAGCUGUUGCAAGCUGUAUCGGCAACAUGUGCAAUGGCAAUGCCAUGUCCCAUUUUAGGCAAAUUUUAAAGAGAUGCCAGAAACAGAGCUCUCUGGAACAAUUUUUUGUGCGACAGGGGUUCAGUGACUCUUAAGCUGGUCCUAGUGCCAUUAAAAAACAAAGAAGGGAAGUAACCCAGGAUAGGGACUUAUUACCUAAAGUCUUUAUGAAAGGGGAUUCCCCUUCCAAACACUAGUGACUUCUCCCGCUCACCUCCUCCCUGUCUACUAUACACCAACAGCAGUCAUCAAUCAAGGUAAGUGUCAUGUUAUUAUUGUUAUAUGCUUCAUUUCUCAUUCUUCUCUGUAUGUAAAUCUAUAUUUAAUGUGUAAAAAAAUAUUUUUUGUUAAUACUUUUGGGUGGCUGGAAUGGACUAAUUGGAUUUACAUUAUUUCCUAUGGGGAAAAUGGUUUCAGUUUGUCAAUUUCACAUUUCAUCAGACUCUCUGGAACGAAUUAAAGAUGAAAAGGGAGAGUCAACUGUACAUAUUUUAUUUUAUUAACACAUCAGCCAUUUCCCACCAAGGCAGGGUGGCCCAAAAAAGAAAAACUUUCACCAUCAUUCACUCCAUCACUGUCUUGCCAGAGGUGCCCUUACACUACAGUUAUAAAACUGCAGCAUUAACACCCCUCCUUCUGAGUGCAGGCACUCUACUUCCCAUCUCCAGGACUGAAGUCCAGCCUGCCAGUUUCCCUGAAUCCCUUCAUAAACAUUACCCUGCUCACACUCCAACAGAACGUCAAGUCCUAAAAACCAUUGGUCUCCAUUCGCUCUGAUCUAACAUGCUCAUACAUAUUUGCUGGAAGUCCAAACCCCUCUCACACAAAACCACCUUUACCCCCUCCCUCCAACCUUUCCUAGGCCGACCCCUACCCUGCCUUCCCUCCACUACAGAUUUAUACACUCUCAAUUUCAUUCUACAGUGGACCCUCGUUUUUCGUAAUUAAUAUGUUCCAGAGAGCGUGACUAUUAUCGAAAUUGAUGAUUUGCGAAUUCAUUUUCCCCAUAAAAAAUAAUGUAACUCCAAUUAAUUCAUUCCAGACACCCAGAAGUAUCAACAACAAUUUCUUUUUUUACCUGAAAGAUUGAUUUACAUGCACAAAGGAAUGAACAUUCAGCAUGACAGUUACCUUCAUUGAAGGCUGUUGUUGAUGAAUGGAAGACGGAGGAGGAGGAGAGAGGGAAGAGAGGUUAUUGUUUGGAAGGGGAAUCCCCUCCCCCUCCAUAAGGACUCUAGGUCACUUCAGGGGUCACUUUCCUAGCUUAAAUAUAGAUUUACAUGCAGAAAAGAAUGCCAAAUAAAUAUAAAGUACUAAUAAAAUGUAUAAAUGAGCAUUUAACAUCACACUUACCUUUUAUUGAAAACUUUUGUUGGUGUAUGGCAGAGGGAGGGGAGGCGAGUUUAUUGUUGGAGAAUACGACACUAAUAUCAACUCUACGGCUUAUUUAUCUAUCACAAUUCAACUAAUAUGACAUAAUAAACAAUUUUAAUAACAUAGAUACAUGGAAUAUACUCUAGAAUGAAUAAAAUAAGUCGUGUAUGUCACGAGAGGUAUUGUGUUGUGUUGUUGUUGGGUGUAUAAGGGCCACUGAGAGUAAGCCGUCCAUAAUGGUGGUGAAGCAGCAGCUGAGGCGGUAGUGUUUUCUGUAGCCCUAUAUAGCUCCAACAACAUUGGAGGAGUUGGUAGAAUCACUGAAGAAGGCACCCUCUACCACCAUCACAAUCACUACCACCUUCUACCACUAUCACAACUGCUACCACCAUCACUACCACCAUCUACCACUACCACAACCACUACCACCCUCUACCACAACCACUACCACCCUCUACCACCAUCACUACCACCCUCUACCAACAUCACUACCACCCUCUACCACCAUCACUACCACCCUCUACCAACAUCACUACCACCCUCUACCAACAUCACUACCACCCUCUACCACCAUCACUACCACCCUCUACCACCAUCACUACCACC